GGCUGCUCAGACUCUAUUAAUGGGGUUUCCCUAGAGAUUGGGCCUGAGUGCACCAGAUGGUGAGCAAGAUGGUGUCACAGCCCCAACUCCUCAUCUUCCUGAUGCUCUGGGUCUCAGCUGCCAGUGGGGACAUCAUGCUGACCCAGUCUCCAGAGUCUGUGGCAAAGUCUCCAGGAGAAACUGUCACCAUAAGCUGCAAGUCCAGUCAGGGCAUUAGCAGCUAUGUAGCCUGGUACCAGCAGAAACGAGGACAGGCUCCUAAACUGCUCAUCUAUGAUGCAUCCAACCGGGUUUCUGGGGUCCCUGAUCGAUUCAGUGGCAGUGGGUCAGGGACAGAUUUCACUUUCACCAUCAGCAAGUUCCAGGCUGAGGAUGUGGCAGAUUAUUACUGUCAGCAACGUCAGAGCUAUCCAUGCACAGUGCUUCAGCCUUGAACAUAAACCCCCUCCC